AAAGGUACCCCGGGGAUAACAGGCUGAUCCUGCCCAAGAGCUCAUAUCGACGGCAUGGUUUGGCACCUCGAUGUCGGCUCGUCGCAUCCUGGGGCUGGAGUCGGUCCCAAGGGUUGGGCUGUUCGCCCAUUAAAGCGGUACGCGAGCUGGGUUUAGAACGUCGUGAGACAGUUCGGUCCCUAUCCGCUGCGCGCGUAGGAAACUUGAGAAGAGCUGUCCCUAGUACGAGAGGACCGGGAUGGACGAACCACUGGUGUGUCAGUUGUUCCGCCAGGAGCACCGCUGAUUAGCUACGUUCGGACGUGAUAACCGCUGAAAGCAUCUAAGCGGGAAGCACACUUCAAGAUGAGGUUUCCAACACCCUUUUGGGUGGAGAGGCUCCCAGCUAGACUACUGGGUUGAUAGGCCGGACGUGGAAGCACAGUAAUGUGCGUAGCUGACCGGUACUAAUAAGCCGAUAACUUAACAAACACCCCA
rnacentral:rRNA from 1 species